UUCAGUUUUCAUUUAAUUAAACUUCGUAUUAUUCGAAGAAAAUUAUCGACAAUAAUAAUAGUGCUAGCCUUCCUAUUUCGGUUUCCGGUUUCUUUGAGGGGCGUUACACUUUGUUCAAAAGAUUUUGCCUGACAGUUUUUUCUUAAAAUUACAAACUAUUAUUAGGUCAACUUCUUCCAACUUGACAUUUCUCAAGGUAUUUUGAGUUGAACGUUCCACAAAUCGAAUAGGAAGUGGUGAGUGGACUCAGUUACUAUUGUGUCCUAUCAUGUGCUGGUACGUCCAUGGAUUAUUAUUAUAGUCAAUAAUACUAAACAACAACUAUUUCCUGAAACUUUGACUUCAUUAGACUCAUGAUUUAUUUCGGUUUUCUAUCCUGACUCAAUUUUCGCAUUUUCCCAAAACUAGAAUAUCCCACAUUCCUAACUAUUUAAUUAUUUCUCUUUUUCUGUCCCUAUUCGCUCUUGCUUUUGUUUCUAACAAGUCUCUAACUAUCCCUUAAUGUCCCAGGAUGUGCCCUUCCAUUCUGUCUGUCCUAUUCAUAGCUAUCAUUUUCAUCAUCCAAUUUUAAAAUCACAUUUCAAACUAAUCUAGCGUGAAGAUAAUGAAUAAUUUAAUAAAAUAAUGAAUUCCCUGAUAAAGAAAUAGGCUCGUUUUUGUAAGGUAUUUCUACAUGUGUUUAGAAUAACAUUCAUCGGCAGUAUUAGUCUAUUUAUGACAUUGCAAAAUGCAGAAUAGAGUGCAUUUUCCAAGUUCUUUCGGCUUCUUGUGGGUGGGCACUUUCUCCGGAUUACGCUAGAGGGUAGGGCAGAACACCUUCAACCUCCUUUUAGGAAUCCUGGAAAUGGAUGAGUGAUGGUCAGUGUGAGAAAGAUGAGAUUGACGAAAUAAAAACAGGAGAAUGAAGGAUUAUUUGUAAAAUAUUAGUGCCCUAGCAUUUGUCUAAGUGAUUUGUGGAAAUCACUGAAAAACUCAGACCAGGGCAGAUGCAGAUGGACCUGGUGCGCGGGCCGUCUCUCAGGACUAUGCCGGAGGGUAGAAGGCCCUCUUUAAUAUCUUUUUAGAAAUCAUGGGAAUUGGUAGGUAGUAGUUGAGAUGAGAAAGACGAAACGGAGAAAAUGAAGACAGAAGAGAGUUAAAUAUCAUAUAUGGAAUAUUACUCUACCAGCAUGCGCCUGAAUGAUCCAAGGAUCAAGGAAAUCGUAGUGAACAUGGAUCAGGGCAAAUGUAGAUGGACCUGGAAUCCAAUUGGUGUCCUCUGGAAUGCUAAGGAAUGGUCUAAAGUUUAAACCUCUAAGCUAUGACGCUCAGUACAUACUGAAAAAAAAAAAAUAAGAAACUCUUUUGCUACUAAAAAGUUUGAACAAGGGCAAACGGCCCCGGAAUUGAACCCACGUCUUCCCGAAUGUUAAGCAAUGGUCUAAACCUUCAGGUCAUGCUGUAAGGUUAACAUAUACUGACUGAAAAUGGAUUUAAAUACUGAUUCCAUUUGAUUCAUCUUGUGAUUUUCUUCCUAUCAAUUGUGUAGAUUGUGCAUUGGGAGAGAUUCACUUCGUAAUUUUUAAUGAAUCAAGGCCGGCUGAGUUUUCUUUCUCAAAACUUAAGUAAUUGAAAAAUGUGAGCGUAUGAUUCUCAUUUAAUUCGAUUGUUUCGUGCCUGGUCGCCUGUACUCGGCUGUGACGUCACCAGGUGUUUUCGUCUACCUGUCGUCAUCGACAAUAAUCCAUGAAGUGAACGGUAGCGUGAAUACUGUGGUCAGUCCUAUGUGGAUUCUCGCGACGUAGAAAUUCGACUGUUUUCCGACUAGUCGACGAUUGAGUGCACCCUAGUGUGUGGAUUUUCAACCCUUCUCAUUUCCCGGUGCGUGCGUGCUUUUUGUUGUGCGUUCCCACCGACGUUGACGUCCUGACGCGGUGUGAUCAGUGCAGUGCGUUAAAACGGGAUCGCGACAGUGCAAGUGAAAAUCGGAUAAAUUGGAAUACCAUUAUCGAUUCUCUUGGCCACAUGUGAAAAGCUCUGGACUUAGACCUGUGUUCCAGCAGUGUGCAAGAUGCGUUUGUCAUUGCGGUGGAACAGCAGGCCAGGGAGCGAUUGGAGC
rnacentral:misc_RNA from 1 species